GACGUAGGGUCCAAGCGUUGUCCGGAUUUACUGGGCGUAAAGAGCGCGUAGGCGGUCUGUUAAGUGUAGAGUGAAAUCUCUGGGCUCACCCCAGAAACUGCUCUGCAUACUGGCAGACUUGAGGGAUGCAGAGGUUUGUGGAAUUCCUGGUGUAGCGGUGAAAUGCGUUGAUAUCAGGAGGAACACCCAUGGCGAAGGCAGCAAACUGGGCAUCAUCUGACGCUGAGGCGCGAAAGCGUGGGUAGCAAACAGG
rnacentral:rRNA from 2 species